AUCUAGCCUCAGGCCUGUUCGCGAGGGCGUUUCAGUGUUCGGCAAAUGAACCACAAUACAGAAGGCGCCGAUUCCCCUUCUCCAGCGAUCAGACCUUUGUCAGGCUGGUGCUGCAGUGUGGCAGAAUCCAGCAAGCUGGCACUGAGAGAUAACCGAGUAACACUGCAGGAACUUCACCAUCUCCAUGGGUAAUACCGGCAUCACCCAAGGUAAAACUGCCAUCUCGAUGGGGGACUCCUCCCUGAAAAGGGACACGACCACCAUCUCAAUGGGAAACACUACCAUCAAAAGGGGCAUAACCACCUCGUCCAUGGGCAAAUCCAGCUAUAGCAGGGGCAAGACCACCACCUCUUUGGGAAAAGCCAGAAUCACAAGAGACAAGACCACCUUUUCACUUGGGAAACCCAGCAACUCAAAACGCUAACUAAAAUCGACCAACCAGAUGGGCGCAAGAACAACCGAUGCAACUUAGGAUGGACAACACAACUGCCGAAAAGGAUGAGGGAUCUUGGUGCCAACUAAACCGGAGCCUGGGAGGUGCCUGCUGUAUUCUGCUGAUGUAUGCUUGAGACACGAACCACCGGGAGUCACACUCUGUAUAGAAUUUAACACCUAACCGACGCCCAUGUGCCUGGAGGCCAACGUUGCUCCCCGUCUUCAUUGUGGUUUUAGAUACCAAGUAAUCAUUUUCGCAUCCUUAGCUACUGAUGCUUGAGUUGGGCUUGUCUGCUACCCUCACACAUUCACGGUAAUCAUGCAAAUCUCAUACACCAGGAAGACGCCAAUUACGGAUAGCGGCAGAACUGUACACAAAACGGGGAAUGAAAAACUGUCGAAGUAUAACAAUUGGCUAAUUUAGGUUAAUGGCGUGUGAAGAAGACGGCCGUAAAAACCACGCCCUCGGCCGGGAAGCGAGUCUCUGCGUUCCCGAAAGGAGAUGCACGGACCGCAUGGUGGAGACACGAGGACCUCGGUCCAUCUGAAGAGAAACUCACAGCGAAGGAAGUCCGAUAACUCCUGCUAUUUAAUGUCCAUUUUCAGGUGCAUAAAUGUCACAGUGGGUAGUAUAGCAUACAGAUUAUUUUCUGUUUAAGUAACUUUACAUCCAAAUCCCAAUUACUUCUACCAUUGUUUGUAAAAGCCACAGAUCAUGCACAUGUCCGAAUAAUAUAUAUUUGUUGUUCUGCUAGAGUCAUUCAAUAAUAUAACGCUAAACAUUGCUAAUGCAGCAAAAAAACAGGAUAGAUAAGCAGUGUGUUAUCCAUGUCUUAGUAACGUAAUUAUUUUAAAUGUCUGUUAAGUCUUGUGUCAUAAGGUUUUUUAAACGUGUGUCUGUUGUCUCCGAGAUUCAUCUUCUGUGUCUGCUUGAGCUGCUAAAAGAAAGUUGAUUAUGUUGACGGUGUUGUAAUCUUUUCCUGAAAAGGUGCUGUGAUUUUUAUGCUUGUGCGUGCGACCAGAUAGGCUAUUGCAGGAUCUCAUGUGGCGCCAGAUAUUUCAUUUAUGCGACGGCACUGUGAAACACCGAAAGAGUACAUUAUUAUAUCCCUUCACAAAUCAAGGCAAAUCAAGGCGCACUUGUAUCUUCCACUGCUCUGCGCACGAUCCUCUGUUACGGCAUCCGGCAAAAAUAAAUCGAAAUCAUAUAUAUGUACAAGUCUUUUUAAAAACACUUACGACCAAUGCGGCUUGUAAGGAAGAUUUGAAGAGCAGUGCCGCUAAGUUAAAUGACGUCAGCGACGAUGUCCCCUUCAGUGGCGUUACUAUGAGCAGAACACAAUUAGUUCACUGUCUUUCCCAGUAAAGCGCUCUCUACAGAUUCAGCACAAGGAUUCUUGACACUAAACCCCCAGAGGACUGGAAUUUAAAAAGUUACAGCAAUUGCUUGUUCAGACCGUUUUACUUUCGUCCCAUCCCUAUGAAAUAAAGGCCUUGGCUUUGAGCACCGUGCACGGUCUAAAGGUGUCAAACAUCUACCCAAACUGGUGCUAUGACAGAUGCUGUAUUCCUGUAGCCGAUGACGUCUCUACUCCAUUUCGCUAUAUUGUUUUGUUACUGGGGGGGAAAUCACUAAAAAUAAAGCCAUACCAAUGUGUUAUUUA